rnacentral:rRNA from 1 species
UACAGAGGGUGCGAGCGUUAAUCGGAAUUACUGGGCGUAAAGCGUGCGUAGACGGUUAUCUAAGUCGGAUGUGAAAGCCCCGGGCUCAACCUGGGAAUUGCAUUCGAGACUGAAUAGCUAGGGUACGGUAGAGGGAAGUGGAAUUUCCGGUGUAGUGGUGAAAUGCGUAGAUAUCGGGAGGAACACCAGUGGCGAAGGCGACUACCUGGCCUGUUCUUGACGCUGAGGCGCGAAAGCUAGGGGAGCAAACGGG